GACGAACGCUGGCGGCGUGCUUAACACAUGCAAGUCGAACGAGGCCCCUCCUUCGGGAGGGUGUCCUAGUGGCGAACGGGUGAGUAACACGUGGGCAACCUGCCCCCGGCUCUGGGAUAACCCCAAGAAAUUGGGGCUAAUACCGGAUAUGACCGCUGACCGCAUGGUCGGUGGUGGAAAGUUUUUUCGGCUGGGGAUGGGCCCGCGGCCUAUCAGCUUGUUGGUGGGGUAGUGGCCUACCAAGGCGACGACGGGUAGCCGGCCUGAGAGGGUGACCGGCCACACUGGGACUGAGACACGGCCCAGACUCCUACGGGAGGCAGCAGUGGGGAAUAUUGCGCAAUGGGCGGAAGCCUGACGCAGCGACGCCGCGUGGGGGAUGACGGCCUUCGGGUUGUAAACCUCUUUCAGCAGGGACGAAGCGAAAGUGACGGUACCUGCAGAAGAAGCACCGGCCAACUACGUGCCAGCAGCCGCCGUAA
rnacentral:rRNA from 1 species